AAAGCCUUUGCAUAGCUCCACCUAAAAUGCGUAUGCGUAACUCAGCAGGUAAGUCAUAUCCCCACCGGCACACCGAAGCCACGCACAUAAUAUUUAUCACUAAACCGUUCAUUUGUAAUUAACAAGGGACACAUGCAACCACUAUAAAUACUUCCAAUAUAACAUGACAAACACAUAGCGGCAUACUUUUGUUUCUUUAUCAUCAUCACUUGCUUGCCUCAAAUCUUCAUCUUACAGACAUCCUGAAUAUAUAUAUAGUUGGAUCUAUUAUUGCAAAAAUGAUAUACUCAUCUGAGAACUGUGAGAUGGAGGGUCAUCAAGAGAGAUCAGAGAUGGAGUGUCGUUCUAGGAUGGAGAUGAAUGCUUAUAUUCAUAACCAAGUUAAAAGAAUUAGAGCUGAGGAUUCGCAGCUUGGAGAAGAUAUAGCGAAGACGCUUAGGGAAAGAGUUGUUGACCAGGAUGUUACUUCUGUUUUAAUGCUGUCAAGGCCUAUGUCACCACUUAGUGGGAAAACCGCAAUUAAGUCUGCUCACUGAUCACCAUCAAGGAAUAUUGAAGACGCAACCCACAUGAAAGAGUGAUGAUGAAGGAUGAGAAGUGCCUUUCUUUAUCACUUCUGUUAUGUAUUUUGCUGUACAGUAAGUAAUACGUAGAAAGUAGUAGGCAGAAGAAGUCAGACGAAAUCUCCUCCUCCACCGUGUACCUUAAAAUAUAGAAAAAGAAAAUACGUAGACGAGAGGCAAGGUUAGUGAAUAGUGACUACCUACCAGUCAAUGAGAAAAAAAAAGAGUUAAUGUA